AACAAAACAAAACAAGACCGUUGGAUGUAUGAAGAUUCUAGAUCCUUAAUUACUACCAAAAAAAAAUUGAAAUGAACGGUGAGAUAUUGAGAUUGGAAAUGGACGGUUAGAUUAGGGGAAGAAGUUUUAACCUAACCUAAACCUAACAACAGCAGUAGCACGCCUCAUUUGAUCAGUUCAUCAUAAUCUAAACGGCUCUCUCUCUCUCCUAACUUGCUUCUCUCCAUCUAUCUCUCUCCUAACGCCUCUGAAUCUCCUAACUUUCUCACACCUCUGAAUCUCCCUCUUCAUCAUCUCUCUGCAUCUGAAUCUCCUAUUGGCGAAUGGUAAGGUAUUUUUUCUAUUUUCUUUUGCAAUUUAUGUAAUUGAUUAAUUUGUUCUUUUUUAUUUGAAGUUUUAAUUUUUUUUUUUUUUUUUUGUGUAGAUCUGUCUUAUUCUCUCACGGUAUAAGACCUGUCAUACUAUACUCACGGUAUAACCGUAUAAGGUAUUUUUCUUUUGCUAUGUAUAAUUAAUUAAUUUGUGCUUUUUUUUUGAAGUUUUAUCUUUUUUUUUUCUUUUUUUUUUGUAGAUAUGUCAUACUAUACUCAGUUACUCACGGUAUAACCGUAUAAGAUCUGUCAUACUAUACUCACGGUAUAAGUGUAUAACCGUAUAAGUUAUUUUUUCUUUUUUCUUUUGCUAUGUAUAAUUAAUUAAUUUGUGCUUUUUUUUUUGAAGUUUUAAUUUUUUUUUUC